rnacentral:rRNA from 1 species
UUGCCGAUAGUUGCUACGAAAGGGCACUCUAUCGGGACUGCCGGUGACAAACCGGAGGAAGGUGGGGAUGACGUCAAGUCCUCAUGGCCCUUAUGGGUAGGGCUUCACACGUCAUACAAUGGUCGGUACAGAGGGCUGCCAACCCGCGAGGGGAAGCUAAUCCCAGAAAACCGAUCGUAGUCCGGAUUGGAGUCUGCAACUCGACUCCAUGAAGUCGGAAUCGCUAGUAAUCGCGGAUCAGCAUGUCGCGGUGAAUACGUUCCCGGGUCUU